AUUUGCCCAAAAUACAAACUUUUUGAUGGACUUGUUUAAUCGAAGGUGAAGCAUCCGAUUUGCUCAGAUCGCUGGUGGGAAUGUCCCAGGACAUCGGAGGAUCGAAUAGAAAGGAGGUUCGGAUAAAAGGACUAUUUCCUGGACAGACAAACAUGCGAUGUAGCUGCGAACUUAGAUAUCUGCGAAACAUCCCAAGGACCACGAGUGCUGCGGUUGAAUCCUUCAGGGCGCUGUGAUUGCUGAUCAAAUUUGGAUGGUUGUCAAUAAAAACUAAGGCCAAGUUUA